UACGGAGGAUCCAAGCGUUUAUCCGGAUUUAUUGGGUUUAAAGGGUGCGUAGGUGGGCAGUUAAGUCAGUUGGUGAAAUCUCCGGGCUCAACCCGGAAACUGCCAUUGAUACUAUCUGUCUUGAAUAUCGUGGAGGUAAGCGGAAUAUGUCAUGUAGCGGUGAAAUGCUUAGAGAUUACAUGGAAUACCAAUUGCGAAGGCAGGUUACUACUAAUGGAUUGACGCUGAUGGACGAAAGCGUGGGGAGCGAACAGG
rnacentral:rRNA from 1 species